rnacentral:rRNA from 1 species
GACGAACCGAGCGAACGUUGUUCGGAAUCACUGGGCUUAAAGGGCGCGUAGGCGGCCUGCCAAGUCAGGAGUGAAAUCUUUCGGCUCAACCGGAAAAGUGCUUUUGAUACUGGCGGGCUAGAGGGAGAUAGGGGCAUGUGGAACUUCCGGUGGAGCGGUGAAAUGCGUUGAUAUCGGAAGGAACGCCGGUGGCGAAGGCGGUUCUCUGGGCCUGUACUGACGCUGAGGAGCGAAAGCGUGGGGAGCGAACAGG